rnacentral:rRNA from 1 species
AUGGACGGCGAUGCUCAUCUCGUCUCGUUCCUUGAUCUUCACCCUGAACUCGCCGAGGAGCGGCGGCGCCCCGAACCGUCCUCUUUCCAUAAAACUGAGGUUGAGGAGCAUGCUAGCGAGGUUAGCAGUAGUGAGGGCUCUGUAACUGUGGAUCUGUCAGAAUCCACUGCCCAAGCGCUGAAUGACAUACCUCCUACACUUCAGUCGACCUAUUGGUCCAAUGUGCGUUAUGAUACUGGCAGCAGCGAGACUGAGUCGGAAACUGUGGUGGAGAAGCCUGAAGAAGAGUCAGAUUUUGAUUUGGACAAGGAACUGCAAGAAAUGGAGGAUUGCUUGAAAGAGAAUACAUGCGACACUAUAAGCGAAGUGAUGGCUAUGAUUUUCGGUGUAGAUUGUUCGGGUCUAGCUGCUAAGUACGACAAUAUGUAG